CCUACGGGGGGCAGCAGUGGGGAAUAUUGGACAAUGGGGGCAACCCUGAUCCAGCCAUGCCGCGUGUGUGAAGAAGGCCCUCGGGUUGUAAAGCACUUUCAGUGAGGAAGAACGCCUGGUGGUUAAUACCCAUCAGGAAAGACAUCACUCACAGAAGAAGCACCGGCUAACUCCGUGCCAGCAGCCGCGGUAAUACGGAGGGUGCGAGCGUUAAUCGGAAUUACUGGGCGUAAAGCGCGCGUAGGUGGCUUGAUAAGCCGGUUGUGAAAGCCCCGGGCUCAACCUGGGAACGGCAUCCGGAACUGUCAAGCUAGAGUGCGGGAGAGGAAGGUAGAAUUCCCGGUGUAGCGGUGAAAUGCGUAGAGAUCGGGAGGAAUACCAGUGGCGAAGGCGGCCUUCUGGACUAACACUGACACUGAGGUGCGAAAGCGUGGGUAGCAAACAGGAUUAGAUACCCUUGUAGUC
rnacentral:rRNA from 1 species